CCGGAUGUUAGCGGCGGACGGGUGAGUAACACGUGGGUAACCUGCCUGUAAGACUGGGAUAACUCCGGGAAACCGGAGCUAAUACCGGAUAGUUCCUUGAACCGCAUGGUUCAAGGAUGAAAGACGGUUUCGGCUGUCACUUACAGAUGGACCCGCGGCGCAUUAGCUAGUUGGUGAGGUAACGGCUCACCAAGGCGACGAUGCGUAGCCGACCUGAGAGGGUGAUCGGCCACACUGGGACUGAGACACGGCCCAGACUCCUACGGGAGGCAGCAGUAGGGAAUCUUCCGCAAUGGACGAAAGUCUGACGGAGCAACGCCGCGUGAGUGAUGAAGGUUUUCGGAUCGUAAAGCUCUGUUGUUAGGGAAGAACAAGUGCAAGAGUAACUGCUUGCACCUUGACGGUACCUAACCAGAAAGCCACGGCUAACUACGUGCCAGCAGCCGCGGUAAUACGUAGGUGGCAAGCGUUGUCCGGAAUUAUUGGGCGUAAAGGGCUCGCAGGCGGUUUCUUAAGUCUGAUGUGAAAGCCCCCGGCUCAACCGGGGAGGGUCAUUGGAAACUGGGAAACUUGAGUGCAGAAGAGGAGAGUGGAAUUCCACGUGUAGCGGUGAAAUGCGUAGAGAUGUGGAGGAACACCAGUGGCGAAGGCGACUCUCUGGUCUGUAACUGACGCUGAGGAGCGAAAGCGUGGGGAGCGA
rnacentral:rRNA from 1 species